GAUGAACGCUGGCGGCGUGCCUAAUACAUGCAAGUCGAGCGAACAGAUGAGGAGCUUGCUCCUCUGACGUUAGCGGCGGACGGGUGAGUAACACGUGGAUAACCUACCUAUAAGACUGGGAUAACUUCGGGAAACCGGAGCUAAUACCGGAUAAUAUAUUGAACCGCAUGGUUCAAUAGUGAAAGACGGUUUUGCUGUCACUUAUAGAUGGAUCCGCGCCGCAUUAGCUAGUUGGUAAGGUAACGGCUUACCAAGGCGACGAUGCGUAGCCGACCUGAGAGGGUGAUCGGCCACACUGGAACUGAGACACGGUCCAGACUCCUACGGGAGGCAGCAGUAGGGAAUCUUCCGCAAUGGGCGAAAGCCUGACGGAGCAACGCCGCGUGAGUGAUGUAGGUCUUCGGAUCGUAAAACUCUGUUAUUAGGGAAGAACAAAUGUGUAAGUAACUAUGCACGUCUUGACGGUACCUAAUCAGAAAGCCACGGCUAACUACGUG
rnacentral:rRNA from 1 species